rnacentral:lncRNA from 1 species
AAAUCUCUUUGCUAUUUUUUUUUUUUGCAGGUUAAGUACCACAGUUUUAUAUGACUGAAUGAACUAAAAUCAGAAACAUGGGUGAGAGAUUUGGAUUUCUAACUGAAAAGUCCUUUCAAAAGUAUUUUGUGCUUUUUUAAUCUUUACUGCUUUCUUAUUAUUAAAAAAACAUUAAACUGAAAUAUUAUUAGUCAUACAAAAAAAAUCACUUUGGUGGAGUUUUCCCAGUACCUUUGCUGAUAUUGCUCAGUGCUUCUCCGUUUGAGUCGCUCUAAUACUGUGAAAUAAAAGCUACAAAUUUUAGAUUGGUUGUCUAGGUAAUAGCAUUUCUGACAAAUUAAUAAUGUGAUGCUUUGCUCGGCCCAUGAGAUUUUUCAUUAGAUAUUCCCCCAACUGUUAUUUACAAUAGGAUGACAACUCGUAAUUUGUCAAGAAGUAAAGAACAGCAGGAGUACCUCUAAGAGAGGAACAUAGCCGAACUUCUAGUAUGAGAGGGGUGGCUAGUGGCUAUCUUAAAAAUUCACAAGACAUUGUCUUUUUAUUUUUUUUAACCUUUCUUACUUAUAUUUUAGACUUUUCUGUGCCUCUUUAUAUGUAGACUAAAGUUCAAAAUAUAAGUGUAAGUGAAAAAGGAUUUUCAUGAUGUGAUCUAAUCAUGAAAACUGGAAAAAAAAAUCAUGAUGGCUCUUUCAAAGUCAGCAUAGAUGAACAGGUUCACAAAUGAACAAUGGCCCCAAAUAAAUAGUGAUUUAUGUCACGUGAGUAUUCCAAAGUGCUGACAUCAUUUUUGCUCCGACUUGGUGCUCCCAGCGAGAAAAGAUAUGGCGUCUUCUAAAUAAUUAAUUGGAAGGGCUGAAGAUGUGACUGAGUGGACGGGGUCGGAAGCAUAACAUCCCAAGCUGCCACUACCUGCUGUGGGAGUGUAGGCAGCACUAUUCAAUAUUCAGUAUGGAUUGUGUAAUUAAUUUGCCAUGAUGUGAAACUGGAAAGGGAAAGGCCAGCAGAAGAGGGGAAAACUCCGAAUGUUUUAUUAUGUGGAAACAGACAAAACCAAAUUGCAACUGAAUUAGGAAGACCUCGGAUGUGAUGUGACAAGGCAUAGGAUUAAAAGAAAGAUCAGUUCCAGAAUUAGCAGAAAGGAAAGGGUAUUUAAGAGGAAAGACUAAAAUGAAGGCAGAGAUAAUGAGGGGAAUAUUAGAGUUUUAAAUGUUAUAAAGUUAAAAAGGAUAAAAGUAGGGAGUUUGCAGCUUAUAAUAAAAUUUGCAUGAGUUAAAUCAAAAGAAGUGGAAAUCUUUUCAAUGACUUUGGCUAAUACAGCAUCUCCAAACCCACAACCAGAUAUAAAAAGGCAGUAUACAAUUCUGUUGCCAGUAUCUGGGUGAUAUUCCAAUCACGGCAAAGCAUUUGGGACAACUACCUUCCAAAAACAUUACUUGCUCAGCCACUCACGCUAAGCAACCUGCACCAGAGCUGGCCUGCCCAUCUGGGAGUAGGAAAGGAGGCCUACAGGGUUCUUCCUCAGAAAAGUCUGAGUCUUUAUCAAUACCAUAGUAAGAUGUCUUCCCAUAGUGUGUGUUGAUUUUCUAGUCAAGAGGCCUGUGGUCAUUUCUAAUCUCAUCAGUAACUUUCUAGUGGUCAAAGAGAAUAAGCCAGGCAUGGUGGCACACACCUCUAAUCCUUGCUACUUGGGAGGUUGAGGCAGGAGGAUUGCAAGUUCAAAUUAGAAAGGCUCUAUGUAAUUUAGUGAAACCCUGUCCCAAAUUUUAAAAAAAUUAAAAAAGGUUGGGACUGUAUCUCAGGGCUAAAGUACCCCUGGGUUCAACCCCCAGUGCCAAAUUAAAAAAAAAGAAAAGAAAAGAAAACCAUACUCCAGUGAUAGCAAUGGAGUGGUUGGGUCACCAUGGGGCACUAAGACGGAGACUUUAAAUCUAGGGGUGCAUAUUUUUUAUACAAAAAAAUGGGAAGGAAAGGUGAAAAAGAGUGAGGAAGGUUUUUGAAAGCAAUGUAUAAUGUUCUGGGAGUUAUGAAAUAAUUUCCUAUUUCUUCUUCUAAUUCCAGUAUGAUCAAGGCUGUGGGUUAGGAGAUGAGAAGGACCACUAUGCAAAGCAGAAGGCUUUUUGAUGUUCUGAUCUCAGCCAGUGUUUCAAAAAUCCCCCUACUGUCCCUAGAGCCAUCAGAGGAGGAGAAUCCAGAAGAAUAUGAGCAGAUGGAGAAAUGAGACACACGAACAAUCCACUAACCAGAUCUGGGGACUGUGCCAUGGAUAGAAAUUAAUUCAUUCAAGGCUGGUAGACAAAAGAGCUCACUCACUCGGGGCCUACAAAAAGGUUGUAAAAUAGUUGGUGAAAGACGGUGGAAAUGAGACGGACAUCAUUACCCUAGGUACAUGUACGAUUGCACGAAUGGUGGGACUCUACUUAAGGCACAACCAGAGAAGUGGAAACUUCUGCUCCACUUGUGUACAUGAGUCUAAGAGCAUUCUGCUGUCAUGUGUAACUGAUUGGAAUGAAUGAAUGAAUGAAUAAAUAAAUAAAUAAAAUGUUGUUAGGUAAGAAAAUAAGCAAAGCAUCAUGCUGAAGACCAAAUAAUGGAAAGACCAAAGGAAAUAGUUUAAUAUGGAAACCAGAAGAAAACAAUGAUAUUGAUAAUGCUAUAGAAGUAAAUGCUAUUAGUAUCUUCAACAGGAUACAAGAAAAGCAGGGUCUCUGUCAACAGAAGCAGAAACCUGAAAUCUGUGAGUUAACAAACUAGAUGAGAUGAAAGGGAGACAUGGGGAAAGGACCACUAGGAACCUCAAAAGGCCAGAUGAAAGUCUCUAACAGCCCUGUGAUGAAGAGAGGAUGCAUUUGGAACACAGAGGGAAGACAGGAGAGAUUCCUACAGAAAAUGGACAAACACAAGUUAAAAAAAUGGAAGGUUGAAGGAUGGGGAUGUGGCUCAGUGGUAAAGCAUUUACCAGUAACUGCAAAUAAAUAAAUAAAGACAUGGAGAAGGCAGUAUGGACAUUUGCAUGAGUUCCCAGGGAAGAGGUCAUAACUGAAAUACAAAAUACUCCCAUAUUAAAUCAAGAAAGUUCAUCCCAAGUUUAAAACAUUACCCAACAAAUACAAAUUAAUAGACCAUUGAAAGGAAGUCUGGUAUGGUAGAGGAAAGAGAAGGGGUCAGGGGGAGGGAAAGGGGGAACAUGAACUUCAACCAAUUUCCAUGGAUGGAUGAACCCACCAAUUAUGUAUAACUAUAAAGCUCUAAAAAAAAUUACCCAAAAAUGGAAGAUGGAAAUGAGGUAGAAUUAUAUAGCUCAUGAUGCUAACAGAAAAGUAAAACAAAUUUCAUACUAACUAAACUAAGCAAAACAAAACAAAACAAAAAUAUCAACAAAGCAGACAGAUUAUUUGGAAUAAUUGCUGAUGAUCUCGGACUUCUCUGAAAUUCUCCCGUCAGAAGACAGUUAAAAUGAAUCCACCAAAUUUAUGUAGGAGAAGUUGUGACACAUAAUUUUUGAAACACAAUGUACCUUGCAUAUAAACACAAUACUUCAUGAACACGGAAAGUUUAUUUAUGGAGUCAAGAAGACUAAAAAAUAUUUUCAAAAAUUUGAUACCUUAGGCAAUGUGCCACAACUCACCUAACUAAAUAUGUCCCUUUCCAUUUCUCUAGGACUUUGUGUCUUCAAAUCCUGCUUGUACUUCUAAAUCAUUAAUAUUCUAUUUGUACCAGAUGCUUGCUACCAAGAUGAAAACACUACGGUGUCUGGUUGAACUAUAUGAAAUUGCUGCUAUUUGACUGUUUUUGAUCUAUAAGAUCAAAUCCAAG